rnacentral:rRNA from 1 species
AUUGAACGCUGGCGGCAUGCCUUACACAUGCAAGUCGAACGGCAGCAUGAUCUAGCUUGCUAGAUUGAUGGCGAGUGGCGAACGGGUGAGUAAUACAUCGGAACGUGCCCUGUAGUGGGGGAUAACUAGUCGAAAGAUUAGCUAAUACCGCAUACGACCUGAGGGUGAAAGUGGGGGACCGCAAGGCCUCAUGCUAUAGGAGCGGCCGAUGUCUGAUUAGCUAGUUGGUGAGGUAAAGGCUCACCAAGGCGACGAUCAGUAGCUGGUGUGAGAGGGCGAUCAGCCACAUUGGGACGUAGACACGGCCCAGACGCCUACGGGAGGCAGCAGUGGGGAAUUUUGGACAAUGGGCGAAAGCCUGAUCCAGCAAUGCCGCGUGUGUGAAGAAGGCCUUCGGGUUGUAAAGCACUUCUGUCCGGAAAGAAAUGGCUCUGGUUAAUACCUGGGGUCGAUGACGGUACCGGAAGAAUAAGGACCGGCUAACUACGUG